GGAUGUGAGGGCGAUCUGGCUGCGACAUCUGUCACCCCACUGAUCGCCAGGGUUGAUUCGGCUGAUCUGGCUGGCUAGGCGGGUGUCCCCUUCCUCCCUCACCGCUCCAUGUGCGUCCCUCCCGAAGCUGCGUGCUCGGUGGAAGAGGACGACCAAGGAGUGUACCGUUCUUCGGUCAAGGGUAUACGAUAGCUGCGCUCCCCUGCUAGAACCUCCAAACAAGCAUUUCGUAUUUCAAAACAUGAGCUUGAGAUAACCCGGAUACAGCACCUAGCAUUUAUCAAUGAUGAUGAUGGUUCAGG